AACGAACGCAGGCGGCAGGCUUAACACAUGCAAGUCGAGCGCCCCGCAAGGGGAGCGGCAGACGGGUGAGUAACGCGUGGGAAUCUACCCAUCUCUACGGGAUAACGCAUGGAAACGUGUGCUAAUACCGUAUACGUACUUCGGGAGAAAGAUUUAUCGGAGAUGGAUGAGCCCGCUUUGGAUUAGCUAGUUGGUGGGGUAAAGGCCUACCAAGGCGACGAUCCAUAGCUGGUCUGAGAGGAUGAUCAGCCACACUGGGACUGAGACACGGCCCAGACUCCUACGGGGGGCAGCAGUGGGGAAUAUUGGACAAUGGGCGCAAGCCUGAUCCAGCCAUGCCGCGUGAGUGAUGAAGGCCCUAGGGUUGUAAAGCUCUUUCACCGGUGAAGAUAAUGACGGUAACCGGAGAAGAAGCCCCGGCUAACUUCGUGCCAGCCGCCGCGGUAACAC
rnacentral:rRNA from 1 species